AUUAAAUUGUUUAAUAAAAAUUUUAGGGACUUUUUUUAAAAGGUGUCAACACUUCACUCACUCACACGUCUUUAAAAAAGUGGCUUCAGUUUUUUGUUCUAGGUGCGUUAUCUACCUUUUUUUACUUGAUCUAUGUAUGCAUCAAACUACGCUCAUUUUCAUUAGUAUGUCACGAGGCUUCAUACAGUAACUUUGCUUAUAAAAUGCCGUCUUGUGUGAUUAAAUGGUGCAAAAACAAUACCAAAGUAAACAAAAAAUCUGAAGGAAUAUCGUUUCACACGUUUCCAACGAAUAUUUUAAUAAGAGGUGAAUGGGUAGCGGCUGUUAGACUGAGAAAAUGACCACGAUUAUGCUGGCCAUGCGCAUAAAGUCAAUUUAAUACGAUUAGU
rnacentral:misc_RNA from 1 species